UUUUUAAUAUAUUUUUAAAAAUUAUAAAUUUAUUAAUUAUAGUGAAUAAUUUGAAAAAGGAAAUAAUAAUUGAGUUGUGCGUUUUUUUUUUUAAAAAAGUUAAUUUGAUGUAGAAAAAAAAAUAACUUACAAAUUUGAACAAUAUAGAAUUUUAAGCUGUGCCAUCGGUACGGAAACUGUAUCAUACCGAUAUUUUGUUGGCACGAUAUGAUACAAUAGAUAUGAUCCAUGCUUAUAAACACUUAAAUCCUUGAUAUAUGGUAUAAUUACCAAUAAGCGCCGAGAACAAGAGGAAAAAUUCAAUUAGAAUAAAAUAGUAUAUUCAGCCUUCAAAAUUAUUUUUAGAAUAGAAUAAAACGAUUUGUAGGUGAAAUACGGUAUCAUAUUAAACAAUUGAUAUCAAGACCUUUGAAGGAGUAAAAAUAUAACACUUUCCAUCACACAACAUAAAAAUCUAACUCUUCAAUUAUUUUCGUGCGGCGUCAACGUGCGCUUAAAAAUUCAAUUACUUUGGGCGGUUUUAUGUCACUUACUUUUUAGUAAAAAAAUAAUUGAACCGUAAAAAUUUCAUUUUCACAACUAUACAAAUAAAUUGCAAAAAAAAUAAUUUUUAGCUGAAACUCUAAUUCAUUCCAGAGUUUAUUUCAAUUUAAAUUUCACCUUUGAUGAAACAACCAGGUGUCGGAUAGA
rnacentral:lncRNA from 1 species